rnacentral:rRNA from 1 species
GACGAACGCUGGCGGCGUGCUUAACACAUGCAAGUCGAACGGAAAGGCCCUGCUUUUGUGGGGUGCUCGAGUGGCGAACGGGUGAGUAACACGUGAGUAACCUGCCCUUUACUUUGGGAUAACUUCAGGAAACUGGGGCUAAUACCGGAUAGGAGCUCUUGCUGCAUGGUGGGGGUUGGAAAGUUUCGGCGGUUGGGGAUGGACUCGCGGUUUAUCAGCUUGUUGGUGGGGUAGUGGCGUAACAAGGCUUUGACGGGUAGCCGGCCUGCGAGGGUGACCGGCCACAUGAGGACUGGGAUACGGGCCAGACGCCAACGGCAGGCAGCAGUGGGAAACAUUGCACAAUGGGCGGAGGCCUGAAACAGCAACGCCGCGUGCGGGAUGACGGCCUGCGGGGUGGAAACCGCUUUCGCCUGGGACGAAGCGUGAGUGACGGUAAUGGGUAAAGAAGCACCGGCUAACUACGUG